ensembl:lncRNA LINC01896 long intergenic non-protein coding RNA 1896
GCGGCCGUGCACCCGCCGCGCUCCUUCCCGCGCGUGUCCUCUCUCCCCGAGCGGCCGCCAGGAUGUGCCCCCGGCCCCGUCGUCGCCGCGCCCGCGCCCCUCGCCCCAGUGUGGACGUGGGGAGGAUCUUCUAAGUCCCUCCAACGAAGGCAAGUGUGAGACUCUGGCCCUUUAUUUGUAAGAAGCAAGCCUUCAGAUUGCAGAAGUGUCGCGCGGGUCGCCGUGCGUUGCGCGAGUGGGAAGAUGGAGGAGGCCGGCACGCUGCUUUCGUGGACGCAAGUGAACCGGGCGUGAAGGCAGGGUGCGAGCUCUGCCCUUGGCCCAGCCCUGCGUGGGCGCCGUCCCAGAUUCCGGGCGGUGCGGGGUGCAGAGAUCUGGAGAGACUUGCGGGCUCCCCAGCGCAGGCUGCUCUGGGAUUUCGUUGGAAGAUCCGGCAGAGCCUUGGAGGAGAGGGCCCGGGAGGCUGUGUGUGCAGCGGAAACUUGUACGAAUGCCCCCACAGCGGAAAUGGUGCGCACGAGUAAUUUCUGCGGUGCACCCUUUUAAAAAUUGACAAGUGAACAAGAUCAAUUUUUUAAGAAAGCAAAGGUAGAAAACAAAAGGCGUGCGACUUCUUGACUGGCUUGUUCCCGCCUUUCUUCCUUCUCUAUACUCAGAUCAGAAACUUUUCUUUAAUUGCUCUUAUUCAGUGCGACAACUUUUAAUAAAAGCAUUUGCAUUUUAAGCCUGAG